rnacentral:lncRNA from 1 species
AUUUUUUUUUAUGUUCCGGUGAAAGGAAGGUUGCCUAGCAACGGUUUUAAUAAAUAGCCAAAUUAUCACAUAUGCAUUGCUUUCUCAUUACACAUUAGCAUAAUUCAAAAUAGUAUUGUUUGUUUAACAAUAACUUGAGUUUGCAAAUGAAAAGUCACUUCAAUUUCAGUUUUUAAAAAUGCUUAGCAACAACCUAGCAACACAAAUUUUGCCUAGCAACGGUUCAAAAAUUUGUAAUUUCGGCC